AAUUAGCCCUGAUUGCAGUGGAAAUACUUUUCUGCUGUCUCGUACACUAUGCUUGUCAGCAGAAAAGAUUGAAGCGCAAAGCAGGACGAACU
rnacentral:sRNA from 1 species